rnacentral:rRNA from 1 species
CGUAGGGGCGUAGCGUUAUCCGGAUUUACUGGGCGUAAAGGGUGCGUAGGUGGUUUCUUAAGUCAGGAGUGAAAGGCUACGGCUCAACCGUAGUAAGCUCUUGAAACUGGGAGGCUUGAGUGCAGGAGAGGAAAGUGGAAUUCCUAGUGUAGCGGUGAAAUGCGUAGAUAUUAGGAGGAACACCAGUAGCGAAGGCGGCUUUCUGGACUGUAACUGACACUGAGGCACGAAAGCGUGGGGAGCGAAACAGGAUU